UACGGGGGGAGCAAGCGUUGUUCGGAUUUACUGGGCGUAAAGGGCGCGUAGGCGGUCAGCACAAGUCAGUUGUGAAAUCUCCGGGCUUAACUCGGAAAGGUCAACUGAUACUGUGCGACUAGAGUGCAGAAGGGGCAACUGGAAUUCUCGGUGUAGCGGUGGAAUGCGUAGAUAUCGAGAGGAACACCUGCGGCGAAGGCGGGUUGCUGGGCUGACACUGACGCUGAGGCGCGAAAGCCAGGGGAGCGAACGGG
rnacentral:rRNA from 1 species